rnacentral:rRNA from 1 species
GUGUCAGCAGCCGCGGUAAUACGAAGGAUUCGAGCGUUAUCCGGAUUUAUUGGGUUUAAAGGGUGCGUAGGUGGACUAAUAAGUCAGUGGUGAAAGCCCGGAGCUCAACUCCGGAACUGCCAUUGAUACUGUUAGUCUUGAGUACAGUUGAGGUGGGCGGAAUGUGUCAUGUAGCGGUGAAAUGCUUAGAUAUGACACAGAACACCGAUUGCGAAGGCAGCUCACUAAGCUGUAACUGACACUGAGGCACGAAAGCGUGGGGAGCAAACAGGAUUAGAUACCCCCGUAGUCC